rnacentral:rRNA from 1 species
CCUACGGGUGGCAGCAGUGAGGAAUAUUGGUCAAUGGACGCGAGUCUGAACCAGCCAAGUAGCGUGAAGGAUGACUGCCCUAUGGGUUGUAAACUUCUUUUAUAAGGGAAUAAAACGAGGCACGUAUGCCUUUUUGCAUGUACCUUAUGAAUAAGGAUCGGCUAACUCCGUGCCAGCAGCCGCGGUAAUACGGAGGAUCCGAGCGUUAUCCGGAUUUAUUGGGUUUAAAGGGAGCGUAGGUGGGUGGUUAAGUCAGUUGUGAAAGUUUGCGGCUCAACCGUAAAAUUGCAGUUGAUACUGGCAGUCGUGAGUACAGUAGAGGUAGGCGGAAUUCGUGGUGUAGCGGUGAAAUGCUUAGAUAUCACGAAGAACCCCGAUUGCGAAGGCAGCUUGCUAGACUGUAACUGACGCUGAUGCUCGAAAGUGUGGGUAUCAAACAGGAUUAGAUACCCGAGUAGUC